rnacentral:rRNA from 1 species
UACAGAGGGUGCGAGCGUUGUCCGGAAUCACUGGGCGUAAAGGGCGCGUAGGUGGCGACCCAAGUCAAUGGUGAAAGCUCGAUGCUCAACAUCGAGUCGGCCACUGAUACUGGGUUGCUUGAGCACUGUAGAGGCUAAUGGAAUUCCGGGUGUAGCGGUGGAAUGCGUAGAGAUCCGGAAGAACACCGGUGGCGAAGGCGGUUAGCUGGGCAGUUGCUGACACUGAGGCGCGACAGCGUGGGGAGCAAAC